UUAUGAAUAAGGAUCGGCUAACUCCGUGCCAGCAGCCGCGGUAAUACGGAGGAUCCGAGCGUUAUCCGGAUUUAUUGGGUUUAAAGGGAGCGUAGGUGGACUGGUAAGUCAGUUGUGAAAGUUUGCGGCUCAACCGUAAAAUUGCAGUUGAUACUGUCAGUCUUGAGUACAGUAGAGGUGGGCGGAAUUCGUGGUGUAGCGGUGAAAUGCUUAGAUAUCACGAAGAACUCCGAUUGCGAAGGCAGCUCACUGGACUGCAACUGACACUGAUGCUCGAAAGUGUGGGUAUCAAACAGGAUUAGAUACCCUGGUAGUCCACACAGUAAACGAUGAAUACUCGCUGUUUGCGAUAUACAGUAAGCGGCCAAGCGAAAGCGUUAAGUAUUCCACCUGGGGAGUACGCCGGCAACGGUGAAACUCAAAGGAAUUGACGGGGGCCCGCACAAGCGGAGGAACAUGUGGUUUAAUUCGAUGAUACGCGAGGAACCUUACCCGGGCUUAAAUUGCAGAUGAAUUACGGUGAAAGCCGUAAGCCGCAAGGCAUCUGUGAAGGUGCUGCAUGGUUGUCGUCAGCUCGUGCCGUGAGGUGUCGGCUUAAGUGCCAUAACGAGCGCAACCCUUAUCUUUAGUUACUAACAGGUCAUGCUGAGGACUCUAGAGAGACUGCCGUCGUAAGAUGUGAGGAAGGUGGGGAUGACGUCAAAUCAGCACGGCCCUUACGUCCGGGGCUACACACGUGUUACAAUGGGGGGUACAGAAGGCAGCUAGCGGGUGACCGUAUGCUAAUCCCAAAAGCCUCUCUCAGUUCGGAUCGAAGUCUGCAACCCGACUUCGUGAAGCUGGAUUCGCUAGUAAUCGCGCAUCAGCCACGGCGCGGUGAAUACGUUCCCGGGCCUUGUACACACCGCCCGUCAAGCCAUGGGAGCCGGGGGUACCUGAAGUGCGUAACCGCGAGGAGCGCCCUAGGGUAAAACUGGUGACUGGGGCUAAGUCGUAACAAGGUAGCCGUACCGGAAGGUGCGGCUG
rnacentral:rRNA from 1 species